rnacentral:miRNA from 14 species
GGUCCUGGCCCUGGUCCUGGCCCUGGUCCUGGUCCUGGUCCUGGUCCUGGCCCUGGUCCUGGUCCUGGACCUGGUC